CUGCUGAAGUUUUUAGUCAACAUCACAUCGAACACAGUGAUGUUAUACGUGGCUUUCACGUAAUUUACCGUCGGAUGUGCUACUGUCAACUAACGACAAACCCAGAGUAAAGUAGUUAACGUAACCUGCGUAACACGUUUCUGUGGUAAUGUUAAACGGUUAACGAGCGUCCAGUCACCACACAAUCAAGUUAGGUUACUAGCCUACGUAACGAUAACGUGCGGUGCGUUGUCUGUCUGUCUCCAAACGUUGAAGAAAAAUUGCAAGCUGUUUCUCCUUUGGGGCUCUGUCCAAGCCAGUGGCUAUCAGAAAAGCACUGACCUGUCCCAAGCAGCUACGUCUGCCCAAGGUGCUGCAGGCCUGGCUGAAGUCAUCAUCAUCCCAGCGUGGCAAAGACGAGAUUGUACCCCCAAUGCAGUCCAAGUUGUCCAGGCUGCGAUUAUUGGAGAGCUCUCUGAGAGAUGGAAGACAGCUGGAAAGAGAAGUAAAAUGAGAAGAAAAACAAGAUAAAGGACAUGUGUUAAGUGUUUGAAUUAUAAAAAGGAAAUUAAAGGCGAUGUCCGGACAUAUUCAGGGAAACUAUGGAAAAACAGUUGACGUUUUUUAUUAUACGAUGACAGGGAGGCAGAAGGGAACAUGGAUCAGGGAAGAAAAUGAAUGAUCAGCAAAACCAGGAAUUUAAAGAGAGACAAAAUAUAGAGAAGGUUGUCAUUCAGGUUACCUAUUUCAUUUCCACAUUCCUUUAUGAGUCAUCGUGAAGACAAAUAUCUACUCAAAUUAAUCUUAUUUCGGCAUCAGUCAUUUCAGCAUCUGAGCAUGCAAAGCCAGUGAUGUCAGGGUGACGCACGUACACAGCUUUCUGUGCCAUCAUGGUGCCAAAGACAAAGAACAGCUUUAAGUUUGAUCAGACAGGAGCUCCAAAGUCAUGUUUUUAAUUAUUCUUUGUUGGCACACAGUGAUAGUCACAUGACAAUAAACUGCAAUGUCAUGGUUUUUGGACACAGAUGUCCCCUCAUUCCCCCAUUCAAAUAGUGUCAAGCUCAGCUUCGUUUCACCUAAAAGCACCAGGCAGAUGGUAUUUAUAGGCUUAAGGGAGGUUGGCAGUUGUUGACAGCAGGGCAUGAAUUUGGCAUUUGGAGUUGCCACUGACUUUACAGGCAUUGCAGGGCGGCAGUGCAAAGUCAUUGAUUGUCCAAUUUGACAAAAGCGUUUUGCACCACAAUCCCAGGAUGUGGCUUAUAGACCUGUCACUAACCUGCUCA